rnacentral:rRNA from 1 species
CUACAGGCUUAACACAUGCAAGUCGAGGGGCAGCAUGGUCUUAGCUUGCUAAGGCCGAUGGCGACCGGCGCACGGGUGAGUAACACGUAUCCAACCUGCCGUCUACUCUUGGACAGCCUUCUGAAAGGAAGAUUAAUACAAGAUGGCAUCAUGAGUCCGCAUGUUCACAUGAUUAAAGGUAUUCCGGUAGACGAUGGGGAUGCGUUCCAUUAGAUAGUAGGCGGGGUAACGGCCCACCUAGUCUUCGAUGGAUAGGGGUUCUGAGAGGAAGGUCCCCCACAUUGGAACUGAGACACGGUCCAAACUCCUACGGGAGGCAGCAGUGAGGAAUAUUGGUCAAUGGGCGAGAGCCUGAACCAGCCAAGUAGCGUGAAGGAUGACUGCCCUAUGGGUUGUAAACUUCUUUUAUAAAGGAAUAAAGUCGGGUAUGGAUACCCGUUUGCAUGUACUUUAUGAAUAAGGAUCGGCUAACUCCGUGCCAGCAGCCGCGGUAAUACGGAGGAUCCGAGCGUUAUCCGGAUUUAUUGGGUUUAAAGGGAGCGUAGAUGGAUGUUUAAGUCAGUUGUGAAAGUUUGCGGCUCAACCGUAAAAUUGCAGUUGAUACUGGAUAUCUUGAGUGCAGUUGAGGCAGGCGGAAUUCGUGGUGUAGCGGUGAAAUGCUUAGAUAUCACGAAGAACUCCGAUUGCGAAGGCAGCCUGCUAAGCUGCAACUGACAUUGAGGCUCGAAAGUGUGGGUAUCAAACAGGAUUAGAUACCCUGGUAGUCCACACGGUAAACGAUGAAUACUCGCUGUUUGCGAUAUACUGCAAGCGGCCAAGCGAAAGCGUUAAGUAUUCCACCUGGGGAGUACGCCGGCAACGGUGAAACUCAAAGGAAUUGACGGGGGCCCGCACAAGCGGAGGAACAUGUGGUUUAAUUCGAUGAUACGCGAGGAACCUUACCCGGGCUUAAAUUGCAGAUGAAUUACGGUGAAAGCCGUAAGCCGCAAGGCAUCUGUGAAGGUGCUGCAUGGUUGUCGUCAGCUCGUGCCGUGAGGUGUCGGCUUAAGUGCCAUAACGAGCGCAACCCUUGUUGUCAGUUACUAACAGGUUCCGCUGAGGACUCUGACAAGACUGCCAUCGUAAGAUGUGAGGAAGGUGGGGAUGACGUCAAAUCAGCACGGCCCUUACGUCCGGGGCUACACACGUGUUACAAUGGGGGGUACAGAGGGCCGCUACCACGCGAGUGGAUGCCAAUCCCCAAAACUUCUCUCAGUUCGGACUGGAGUCUGCAACCCGACUCCACGAAGCUGGAUUCGCUAGUGAUCGCGCAUCAGCCACGGCGCGGUGAAUACGUUCCCGGGCCUUGUACACACCGCCCGUCAAGCCAUGGGAGCCGGGGGUACCUGAAGUGCGUAACCGCGAGGAGCGCCCUAGGGUAAAACUGGUGACUGGGGCUAAGUCAUAAC